AUGUACGAGUCCGAUUGCGAUGAAGAUCGUCAGAGAAAUGAACAACAGUUUGUGGAGAUGAAACCUGAAGUGGUGGAACUGAGAACUCUCCAUAAGAGAGAAGAGGAAUCAUUGGUGAUGAUGAUUUGUUUGAGAAAAAAAAAGAUGAAUGGUUGGAGUAAACUUGAUAAAGAUGAUACGAGAUUCAGAGAGAGAAAGGAGUGUUAUUAUUUCUUUUCUUCUUCUUUUAAUUGA